rnacentral:misc_RNA from 1 species
GAUGAAGAACGCAGUGAAAUGCGAUACUUGGUGUGAAUUGCAGAAUCCCGUGAACCAUCGAGUCUUUGAACGCAAGUUGCGCCCGAAGCCAUUAGGCCGAGGGCACGCCUGCCUGGGCGUCACACGUCGUUGCCCCCCCAUCUACUCCUUCGGGAUUGCGGGGGGCGGAUGAUGGCCUCCCGUGCGCCUCGUCGCGCGGUUGGCAUAAAUGCCAAGUCCUCGGCGACGCACGCCACGACAAUCGGUGGUUGCGAAACCUCGGUUGCCCGUCGUGUGCGGUCGUCGCGCAUCGAGGGCUCGAAAAAAUUGCCGGGCUCCGGCUCGGCUUUCAACGCGACCCCAGGACAGGCGGGGUUACCCGCUGAAUUUAAGCAUAUCAAUAAGCGGAGGA